rnacentral:rRNA from 1 species
CGGGUGAGUAACGCGUAUCCAACCUUCCGUACACUCAGGGAUAGCCUUUCGAAAGAAAGAUUAAUACCUGAUGGUAUGAUGAGAUUGCAUGAUAGCAUCAUUAAAGAUUUAUCGGUGUACGAUGGGGAUGCGUUCCAUUAGGUAGUAGGCGGGGUAACGGCCCACCUAGCCGACGAUGGAUAGGGGUUCUGAGAGGAAGGUCCCCCACAUUGGAACUGAGACACGGUCCAAACUCCUACGGGAGGCAGCAGUGAGGAAUAUUGGUCAAUGGACGAGAGUCUGAACCAGCCAAGUAGCGUGAAGGAUGAAGGUCCUACGGAUUGUAAACUUCUUUUAUAAGGGAAUAAAACCUCCCACGUGUGGGAGCUUGUAUGUACCUUAUGAAUAAGCAUCGGCUAACUCCGUGCCAGCAGCCGCGGUAAUACGGAGGAUGCGAGCGUUAUCCGGAUUUAUUGGG